UAUCUCUAACCCACCACUUCCAUCUUAUCCCCUCGCUUUUUCUGGAGACCACACGAGGCAUCCUCGUCCUGCUCGCCCUUCAGUCUCUGAGUUCUCAAUCUCUCCUCCUCCUUCCUGUGUUCUCUCCAAAAUCCACACCUAAUCCCCAUGAAAUUGAGCUCGUUUUUGUUGCCUUCUCCGCUCCGCGCAACACUUUUCCUCCAUAGAUCCAUGAGAGGGCGUCCAAAGGGCAGGACAGCGAUGCAGGAAACGGCACACCUCGUGCGACGGCGGAGACCGGUGCCGGCUGCGUUACCAUGGUGUGCGACGGCGGAGACCGGUGCCGGCUGGGGCAGCGAUGCAGGAAACGGCACACCUCGUUGCUGGAACCGGCCGACUGGAAAGCUGCAACCGGCAUCCGAUGAUGCUGGAACCAGUAAUCAUUUUUGCUACCAUAGGCGGUUGGUUUUGCUGGAACCACCGCCAAAUUUGCAAGUUUGCUACUACUGACUUUCUGGUUUGCUGGAACAAGCUUGAAUUUUUGCUACAUUGGCGUUUUUGACUUUUGCUGGGGGACAACUUUCAUUUUUUUUGUUUUGCAAUUUUUGCUACCACCGUUUCCUUGGUUUGCUGGAUCCGAUGCAAUUUUUUGCUACAUUCGGGAUGGAUGGAGCUGCAUGAUAGGGAGCUGCAUCUUAGUUUUUUGCUGGAACCGGGACACGGAUAGCUGCUACCGGCGAAUUUUUUGCUUCAACGGAGAUGAGACCCAGACAGUUUUUUUGCUGGAAUGAAAUUUCUUCAUGAGGUGCGGUGACGAGGCAUUUUUAUUUUUUUGUGCUGUAAUUUGUGCUUUUUUGCUGGAACCAUGUUUUGAUUUUGCUACAACGAGCAUUUGAUUUUGCUGGAA